AUUGACCUUUGUUUGGCAUUUCGUUUAUUUCUCUAACAUAUAUGAUGAUUCACAAAAAAUAUGAAUAGAUGAUUAGACUAACACAUUCAAGCUCAACAGGUCUGAAAGUGAAACUAACAGCAGCUCUUCAAAUGGUUCCUCUCUAGACUUUAUAAUAACGGAAUUUUAUUUUUAUUUUUCACAGUUCAUAUCGAUGGGUCAGCACUAAGGAACGGAUUAUUUGUUACAGGUCCUAGGCCACGACUUCAUUGGUUUAAAUUACUGCUGCCUAAAGGCGCGGACCUAAUCAGCUGGAUUGACUCAAUCUCCGCUGCUGUUUUAAAGGGGUUGCCUUCGCUGUAUGUCUGUCGAUAUGACGAACUUUCUGAUUUUAUACAGCAAACGACGUCGCAACCAAGACAGAUAAAGCUGCGAUCCUGUAUACUCCGUCAGUCUCUUCCUGUCGAGAACAUAGGCUUGAGGCUAACUGGGAAACCUUCGGGCGUUAAUCCAAAAAAUAAUUUUAAAAUUUUUAUUCCAUGAAGCAUGCAUUUAUGAAUUUAUGAAAAAUGUUUGGCUCCAUACCCUGUGGUCCAAACUUACAGAAUAUAAAACUGAUUCUCAGUCGUUACAGGUAGGUAUUUUUCAGGUAUUAACAGACUGCUAACAGUUAGGACUAGUAGUUUUACGAAAAAAAAGUACAAUAAAA